rnacentral:sRNA from 1 species
GGGACUAGUGACAGAGUGAGGCAGGGUGUGACUCGUGACAGAGAGAGGGAGGGGGUGACUAGUGACAGAGUGAGGGAGGUUGUGAUUAGUGACAGAGGGAGGGAUGGGGUGACUAGUGACCGUCACCACCUCCUUCACUCUGUUACUAGUCACCCCCUCCCUCACUCUGUCAUUGUGUCACCCCCUUCCUCACUCUGUCACUAGUCACCCCCUCCCUCCCUCAGUCUGUCACUAGUCACCCCCUCCCUCACUCUGUCACUAGUCACC